rnacentral:rRNA from 1 species
GAUGAACGCUGGCGGCGUGCCUAAUACAUGCAAGUCGAGCGAACAGAUAAGGAGCUUGCUCCUCUGACGUUAGCGGCGGACGGGUGAGUUACACGUGGAUAACCUACCUAUAAGACUGGGAUAACUUCGGGAAACCGGAGCUAAUACCGGAUAACAUAUUGAACCGCAUGGUUCAAUAGUGAAAGGCGGUCUUGCUGUCACUUAUAGAUGGAUCCGCGCCGUAUUAGCUAGUUGGUAAGGUAACGGCUUACCAAGGCAACGAUGCGUAGCCGACCUGAGAGGGUGAUCGGCCACACUGGAACUGAGACACGGUCCAGACUCCUACGGGAGGCAGCAGUAGGGAAUCUUCCGCAAUGGGCGAAAGCCUGACGGAGCAACGCCGCGUGAGUGAUGAAGGUCUUCGGAUCGUAAAACUCUGUUAUCAGGGAAGAACAAAUGUGUAAGUAACUGUGCACGUCUUGACGGUACCUGAUCAGAAAGCCACGGCUAACUACGUG